UGGAUCACUACUAAGAGCCUCAAUUACCUUCAUUUGAAGCAUUUAUGCUGAGGAUGAAGGAUUCAAACGCUGCUCUGACAUGGUAGCUGCUGAUACAAGGAAUAAAUCCACAAUUUACACACGCAUUUUAUAUUUUAUUGGAGUUUGGAAAAGGAAACGACGACAGAUUUUUCACUCUUGUGUGCAUAUACUAGACAACGCAUGGCAAGAAUGAGUCCUCUGUGCAUAAACAUACAUUUCUUUAUGAAUUCCCCCAAUUAAAUAAACAAGCAAAUAGAUAAAUAUGGUUAGUUUAAGUGUGUUGGUAUGAACUGGCAUGCAGUUCCUGAAAUGUCCACUUGAGGCUCGCUCCAAAAGACAAGGAAUCAUCAUUAGGUAUCUUGUUAAAAUGCCAAUUUUAUACAGCUGAAAUAAAUCUGUUUACAGCCCAGUUAAAAGAGCAGUUUUCAACUCGCUUAUUUGUUUGUACAAACUGUAUCAGGAAGGAAUAAUUUCUAACAAAUCCAUUAAGAUGGUACGAAAGGUAAGAGUUAUGCAUAAAUUUGCAUAAUUAUGGGCAUGGCUGACUAUUAGUACUAUUUAAUUAGGGUGACCAUACGAACUCUUUUACCUGGACAUGUCCUCUUUUGGGGGGCUGUCUAGCCUUGUCUGGGGGAGUUUAUAAAAUCCUUCAAAUGUCCAGGGUUUUGUAAAGAAGUUUUCAGUUUGUGUCGCAUGGACUUACUGAGUUAGAAGCGCGUAAAUAACACUCAACACGACAUGAAAGACUCUCAAAUUAACUACGUGCGAUUCCAGGACUGCUCCCUUUUUUUUUUGGUAAUUCAGAAUAUGGUCGCCCUAAUUAAGUACUCUGUAAAAUUAAAUAAACUAUUGGCACACCACAUUCAAAGCUUUAUUUUCUGCUACAGGAUCCCCUUUGUGAUCAAACCUGGUUCAGUGAUCAUCACGUGGUCAUGCUAUCUUCAGCAGAAGUAGUCCACAUCAGAUUAUUUAAGCAUAUGGAGCGUUAAUGCCUCACACAGAGCCAUGAUAUCUGGACGGCGUCCUGCUGUUCAUCCAAUUAUGACUGUACUAUGGGGGGGAUCUGAAUGUGGCAAUUAAGCUGGUCAGCAAAGAUGAAUGAAGCACUGAGGAGGAGUGAUAAUUCUCUAUCAAGGAACAAGAAAUGUCAACGGAGCAAUAAGGACCUCAAGAUGUGGGGAGGAUUAUCACCAGGCACCAAACUGAAGGUCCCAGUACUCAGACUCACCUCAGUCUUUGACAAAGUGGUACGCACUGUAUGUAGUAAAAUGUGGUCAUAUUUUGACAAGGGGAUUCAGGAGGGUCCCCCAAACCUUUUCCCUCCUCACUCUCUCUCUCUCUCUUUCUCUCCCACACACUAAAAUCCUGUCCCUUCCACAGACUCUAGACACAUCCUCUUGGAUCAGGUUUUUUCCUCUUCCCUCUGUGACUGGUGCUGGAGGCAUCGGCCCUCCUGCCUAGCUCUGUCCUCCGAUUGUCAGAGGCAGUUCCAUGUGAGCAACAGGCCACAGCUGUGUCGCCUGCUCGGCCGUCACCUAUUGUCAGAGAGGACUUGUGGUUUUACGCGAGCUAACGGACAUCCACAUUUAAGCUAGGUUGAAAUCUGAUCGUCAGUGGUUGUACUGUGCGUUUAACCGCCUUACUUUACUUUGAUUAUCAUUGGUCAAUUUUUUUAGUGUGGUCAUUACUAAAGUUGUUAUAACUAGAGAAGCAAGCAGUCGGCACCAUUUAUCUCUCAACUGUUGGAGUGUCUUGAAAAAGAGAACAUUAAGCUCCAUUUUGUGUAACUAGCUUGUUAAAAUGUUAGCAAACUGAAAGCGACAAGCUACACAAAACAGCCACUUCCCCUUUAUUUCAACCAAGAAGCGGUGAAUUCUCCAGAGGUAGAGUGACGAAACAAAAAGUGACAAGCAGGCUGACUGCAAAGCGAGUAAAUGAACUGCCACCUUACGGGGGCGGCAACUGAUCACACAUUUAUUGGAGUGUUAAGUGAAUGUAGAGUAAAGGUAUAGUGAAUAUAGAGGCGAGGCUCUGACCCCGUCACUCGCCAGCAGGAAACAUGAGGCAGAGCGCAGCAGGGAGUGGGCAGUGACAAUUAUAAUGUCAACCUAAAGGGUGACGUGGAUUCAGAGGACACAGGUGGGUGUUGUGAUGGAGCUGUGGGGUUGAGUGGGAGUCAGAGUCAUUGAUUUGUGUUGUAUCUAACUAACACAAUCACUGCCUUUAUCAUCAUCAUCAUCAUCAUCAUCAUCAUAACCAUCAUCAUCAACAUUACCAUCAUCAUCACCAUAAUCAUCAUCAUGAUCAUGAUCACCACCAUCAUCAGCAUUAUCAUCAUCCUCAUCCUCAUCAUCAUAAUCACCAUCAUCAUCAUCAUGAUCACCACCAUCAUCAGCAUUAUCAUCAUCAUCAUAAUGAUAAUCACCAUCAUUAUCAACAUCAUCAUCAUCAUCAUCACCAUCAUCAUCAACAUCAUAACCAUCAUCAUCAUCAACAUCAUCAUCAUGAUCACAUCAUCAUCAUAAUCACCAUCAUUAUCAACAUCAUCAUCAUCAUCAUCAUCACCAUCAUCAUCAACAUCAUAACCAUCAUCAUUAUCAACAUCAUCAUCAACAUCAUCAUCAUCACCACCAUCAUCAGCAUCCUCAUCAUCCUCCUCCGCAUCAUCAUCAGCACCAUCAUCAUUUUCAUCAUCAUCAUCAUCAUCACCAUAAUCAUUAGCAUGAUCACCACCAUCAUCAUCAUCACUAUCAUCAUCAUCACCAUCAUCAUCGUCACCAUCAUCAUCACGAUCACCAUCAUCAUCAUAAUCACCAUCAUUAACAACAUCAUCAUCAUCAUCAUCACCAUCAUCACCAUCAUCAUCAUCACCAUCAUAACCAUCAUCAUCAUCACCACCACCAUCAUUAGCAUCAUCAUCAUCAUCAUCAUCACCAUCAUCACAAUCCACAAUCACAAAUCCCCCCCAACCAGUGUGGGUUAAUUCCCCAGGCUAGUAAUCAGAUGGGGUGUAAAAACGGGCGCCCCAGUCAGUCGAGUACAGAUGAUAAGAAAUUCUUCAACAAUAAUCACGUAAAAUUCAAAGACAUUACAGAGAGUUUGGGGGAUUUCAUCAUCGACUUUAGAUGAGAUCAUUAAA